GAAGAUUUUAAUUAACUGGCAUACAUUUUGAGUAGAGCAAAAUAUAUUGAUCUGUUAACUCCAAAUUUAGAUACGAUUUUGACAGCAAGGGAGCAAGCCAGAAAUCAUGCAGAGAUAUUCUGGAAAAUUCUGUAAUUAUUUUUGACUUUGGUCUUGGAAGGAAGGAAGGAAGGAAGGAAGGAAAGAAAAUUGGAAGCUAGUUGGAAGGUUUUAGUGUUAGCACUCUAAAUCAUGAAGAAAUACAAUAGGUACUGGUAGUCUUUUUAGGUGGGCAACUUUCCAUGUAUGGAAAAGACUCAUCAAUGGACAACCAAGAAAACAAAGCAAUGGAUCAUCAAGCAAAUCAGUUCUCACUCCAAAUGUGUAAAUUUUUGCAAAUCAUCCUACUUUGGACACCUAAUGAAAAGUCCUAACCUUCUGGAGAAGGUUCUACUGUUGGGAAAAGUGGAAGGAAAGAGAAAAGAAGAGGAAGGCCAGCAGUGGAUGGGACAGAUCAUCAUGGAGGGAGGCAACAACGACUUGAUCACACAGAUGCUGCUAGGAAUAGUGGUUAUUCCUGUCAUAUAUCUACAUAUGCCAUGGAUAGCAGAUUUUUGGAAGUCGCCCAUCAUCAUAUACUCAUACAGCAAUGGAUAGAAUUGACAACGAGCAUUGUUUACUCCUAAGAAGAGGACAUCAAGUCACGGCCAAUU